rnacentral:rRNA from 1 species
AGCUCCACUAGCGUAUGUUAACAUUGUUGCGGUUAAAAAGCUCGUAGUUGGAUUUCUGCUGAGGGCGACCGGUCCGCCCUCUGGGUGAGUAUCUGGUUCGGCCUGGGCAUCUUCUUGGAGAGCGUAGCUGCACUUGACUGUGUGCUGCGGUAUCCAGGACUUUUACUUUGAGGAAAUUAGAGUGUUUCAAGCAGGCACACGCCUUGAAUACAUUAGCAUGGAAUAAUAAGGCAGGACCUCAGUUCUAUUUUGUUGGUUUCUAGAGCUGAGGUAAUGAUUAGUAGGGAUUCUUUGGGGGCAUUCGUAUUUAACUGUCAGAGGUGAAAUCCUUGUACUUGUUAAAGACGGACUAUUGCCAAAGCAUUUGCCAAGGACGUUUUCA